GGCCAUAGGCAAUGAUGCUCUUACGAAUCGUGUCAGGUUCGGAAGAAAGCAGCACUAAGUAGGUUGCACCAUGUGCCUUAUGUUUAGA
rnacentral:SRP_RNA from 1 species